rnacentral:rRNA from 1 species
UUGCUCCACCGGAAAAAGAGGAGUGGCGAACGGGUGAGUAACACGUGGGUAACCUGCCCAUCAGAAGGGGAUAACACUUGGAAACAGGUGCUAAUACCGUAUAGCAAUCAAAACCGCAUGGUUUUGAUUUGAAAGGCGCUUUCGGGUGUCGCUGAUGGAUGGACCCGCGGUGCAUUAGCUAGUUGGUGAGGUAACGGCCCACCAAGGCCACGAUGCAUAGCCGACCUGAGAGGGUGAUCGGCUACAUUGGGACUGAGACACGGCCCAAACUCCUACGGGAGGCAGCAGUAGGGAAUCUUCGGCAAUGGACGAAAGUCUGACCGAGCAACGCCGCGUGAGUGAAGAAGGUUUUCGGAUCGUAAAACUCUGUUGUUAGAGAAGAAAAAGGAUGAGAGUAACUGUUCAUCCCUUGACGGUAUCUAACCAGAAAGCCACGGCUAACUACGUGCCAGCAGCCGCGGUAAUACGUAGGUGGCAAGCGUUGUCCGGAUUUAUUGGGCGUAAAGCGAGCGCAGGCGGUUUCUUAAGUCUGAUGUGAAAGCCCCCGGCUCAACCGGGGAGGGUCAUUGGAAACUGGGAGACUUGAGUGCAGAAGAGGAGAGUGGAAUUCCAUGUGUAGCGGUGAAAUGCGUAGAUAUAUGGAGGAACACCAGUGGCGAAGGCGGCUCUCUGGU